rnacentral:rRNA from 1 species
AUUGAACGCUGGCGGCAUGCCUAACACAUGCAAGUCGAACGGCAGCAUGGUCUAGCUUGCUAGACUGAUGGCGAGUGGCGAACGGGUGAGUAACGCGUAGGAAUAUACCUUAUAGAGGGGGAUAACCUGGGGAAACUCAGGCUAAUACCGCAUGUUAUCUAAGGAUUAAAGCUGGGGACCUUAGGGCCUGGCGCUAUAAGAAUAGCCUGCGUCCGAUUAGCUAGUUGGUGGGGUAAAGGCCUACCAAGGCGACGAUCGGUAGCUGGUCUGAGAGGAUGAUCAGCCACACUGGGACUGAGACACGGCCCCAGACUCCUACGGGAGGCAGCAGUGGGGGAAUAUUGGACAAUGGGGGCGAACCCCUGAUCCAGCAAUGCCGCGUGUGUGAAGAAGGCCUGAGGGUUGUAAAGCACUUUCAGU